UUAAGUUAGAAAGAGCGCAGGGUGGAUGCCUUGGCACUGAGAGCCGAAGAAAGACGUGAUAAGCUGCGAAAAGCUGCGGUAAGGAGCAAAUAUCCGAUGACCCGCAGAUAUCUGAAUGGGGAAACCCGGCUGAGUAAACCACAGUCACCGUAUACUGAAUACAUAGGUAUACGGAGGGAACCCGCUGAACUGAAACAUCUAAGUAGGCGGAGGAAGAGAAAGAAACAUCGAUUCCGUAAGUAGCGGCGAGCGAACGCGGAAGAGCCCAAACCGUUGUGCGUGCACGACGGGGUAUGGACUGCGAUAUGGCAGUGUGGAAGAUAGUAGAAGGGUCUGGGAAGUCCCGCCAGAGAGAGUGAAAGCCUCGUACAUGAAAUCAGAAACACGCCUAGCAGGAUCCGGAGUACCACGAGACACGAGAAACCUUGUGGGAAGGCGGAGGGACCACCCUCCAAGGCUAAAUACUACUCAGUGACCGAUAGCGCAUAGUACUGUGAAGGAAAGGUGAAAAGGACCCCGGGAGGGGAGUGAAAGAGAACCUGAAACCCUGUGUUUACAAGCUGUCGAAGCACGCAAGUGCGACGGCGUACUUUUUGUAGAACGGUCCGGCGAGUUAUGAUGAGUGGUAAGGUUAAGGACUUAAGGUCCGGAGCCGAAGCGAAAGCGAGUGUUAAAAGCACGGUUGAAUCGCUUAUCAUAGACCCGAAACCGGGUGAUCUAUCCAUGUCCAGGUUGAAGCUGCCGUAAGAGGUAGUGGAGGACCGAACACACAUCCGUUGAAAAGGGUGGUGAUGAGGUGUGGAUAGGGGAGAAAUUCCAAUCGAACCCGGAGAUAGCUGGUUCUCCUCGAAAUAGCUUUAGGGCUAGCCUCUGGUUAGUCUGCCGCAGGUAGAGCACUGAAUUUCCUAGGGGGCGUCAAAGCCUACCGAAGAAUAUCAAACUGCGAAUGGCGGACAGAUGAUGCCAGGGAGUCAGACUGCACGAGAUAAGUUGGGUGGUCAAAAGGGAAAGAGCCCAGACCUACAGCUAAGGUCCCAAAGUGUGUGUUAAGUGGAAAAGGAUGUGGGAUUUCGAAGACAACUAGGAUGUUGGCUCAGAAGCAGCCACACAUUAAAAGAGUGCGUAAUAGCUCACUAGUCGAGAGGUCCUGCGCCGAAAAUGUCCGGGGCUAAAACACAACACCGAAGCUUAGGAAUUCUAAUGAAUUGGUAGAGGAGCAUUGAAGACGGAACGAAGCCAUACCGAAAGGAAUGGUGGACUGUCUUGAAGAGAGAAUGCCGGAAUGAGUAGCGAGAUUGAAGUGAGAAUCUUCAAGGCCGAAUAUCUAAGGUUUCCAGGGUAAAGCUGAUCUGCCCUGGGUAAGUCGGGGCCUAAGGCAAGGUCGAAAGACGUAGUCGAUGGAUAACAGGUUGAAAUUCCUGUACUGCAUCAAAUCAGAAAUGUGGGGACACAUGAGGGAAGCAUGAGCCGGAAAAGGAAAGUCCGGUACAAGCGCAGCAGAGGACAGAUAGGCAAAUCCGUCUGUCAACUCAAGGGCGUGAUGUGGAGCGAACCAAAGUAGCGAAGCAUGUGGAGCUUGUGUCGAGAAAAGCCGCUAUAGUGUUUGAUGUACCCGUACCGUAAACCGACACAGGUGGAUGAGGAGAGAAUCCUAAGGCCGGCGGGAGAAGCAUUGUUAAGGAACUCGGCAAAAUGACCCCGUAACUUCGGGAGAAGGGGUGCUCCAGAGAUGGAGCCGCAGAGAACUGGCCCAAGCAACUGUUUAGCAAAAACACAGGUCUAUGCAAAACCGAAAGGUGAGGUAUAUGGGCUGACGCCUGCCCGGUGCUGGAAGGUUAAGAGGAGAUGUUAGCCGCAAGGUGAAGCAUUGAAUUUAAGCCCCAGUAAACGGCGGCCGUAACUAUAACGGUCCUAAGGUAGCGAAAUUCCUUGUCGGGUAAGUUCCG
rnacentral:rRNA from 1 species